AAGACCUACGGGGCGCAGCAGUGAGGAAUAUUGGUCAAUGGGCGGGAGCCUGAACCAGCCAAGUCGCGUGAGGGAAGACGGUCCUAUGGAUUGUAAACCUCUUUAGGCGGGGAGCAAAUUCCGUUACGUGUAACGGAGUCGAGAGUACCCGAAGAAAAAGCAUCGGCUAACUCCGUGCCAGCAGCCGCGGUAAUACGGAGGAUGCGAGCGUUAUCCGGAUUUAUUGGGUUUAAAGGGUGCGUAGGCGGACUGUCAAGUCAGCGGUAAAAUACGGGGGCUCAACCUCCGCCCGCCGUUGAAACUGA
rnacentral:rRNA from 1 species